rnacentral:rRNA from 1 species
CAGAUUGAACGCUGGCGGGAUGCUUUACACGCUUGCAAGUCGAACGACGCUGGACUUCGGUCUGGUGGCGAGUGGCGAACGGGUGAGUAAUGUAUCAGGUUGUGCCAAUGGCAGAGGAUAACUACGCGGCGUAGCUAAUACCACAUACCGCCCUUCGGGGGAAAGCGGGGGACCUUCGGGCCUCGCACUAUUGGAAACGGCCGAUAUCAGUUAACUGUUGGUGGGUAACAUCCACGCAAGGCGACGAUCCGUAGCUGGUUUGAAGGACGACCAGCCACACAGGACUGAGACACGGCCCGAACUCCUACGAAGGCAGCAGUGGGGAAUUUUGGACAAUGGGGAAACCUGAUCCAGCCAUCCCGCGUGUGCGAUGAAGGCCUUCGGGUUGUAAAAACACUGGCAGGAAAAACGGCACGGGAUAAUACCCCGUGCAACUGACGUACCUGCAGAAUAAGCACCGGCUUACGUGCCAGCAGCCGCGGUAAUACGUAGGGUGCAAGCGUUAAUCGGAAUUACUGGGCGUAAAGCGUGCGCAGGCGGUUCGGAAGAAAGAUGUGAUCCCAGGCUUAACUGGAACUGGAAACUUUAACUGCCGAGCUAGAGGUGUCAGAGGGAGGUGGAAUUCCGCGUGUAGCAGUGAAAUGCGUAGAUAUGCCGGAGGAACACCGAUGGCGAAGGCAGCCUCCUGGGAUAACACUGACGCUCAUGCACGAAAGCGUGGGGAGCAAACAGGAUUAGAUACCCUGGUAGUCCACGCCCUAAACGAUGUCGUAACCUAAGCUAUUGGGGCCUUCAGGCCUUGGUAGCGCAACUAACGCUGCGUAGAAGUUGACUACGCCUGGGGAGUACGGUCGCAAGAUUAAAACUCAAGAAUUCAACGAGGACCUGGCAUAGUGGACGGUGUGGAUUAAUUCGAUGCAACGCGAAAAACCUUACCUACCCUUGACAUGUCUGGAAUCCCGAAGAGAUUUGGGGUGCUCGCGAGAACCGGAACACAGGUGCUGCAUGGCUGUCGUCGGCAAAUGUCGUGAUGUUGGAACGGUCGCAACGAGCGCAACCGCCGUCAUUCAGUUUGCUACGAAAAGGGCACUCUAAUGAGACGCCGGUGACAAACCGGAGGAAGGUGGGGAUGACGUCAAGUCCUCAUGGCCCUUAUGGGUGGGCUUCACGUCAUACAAUGGUCGGGACAGAGGGUCGCCAACCCACGAGGGGAGCCAAUCCCAGAAACCCGAUCGUAGUCCGGAUCGCAGUCUGCAACUCGACUGCGUGAAGUCAGAAUCUCGCUAAUAAUCGCGGAUCAGCAUGUCGCGGUGAAUACGUUCCGGGUCUUGUACACACCGCCGUCACCAUGGGAGUGGGUUUUACCAAGUGAUUAGCCUAACCGUAAGGAGGCGAUUACCACGGUAGGAUUCAUGACUGGGGUGAAGUGAUCAG